GACGAACGCUGGCGGCGUGCUUAACACAUGCAAGUCGAGCGGUAAGGCCCUUUCGGGGUACGACGAGCGGCGAACGGGUGAGUAACACGUGGGUGACCUGCCCUCAGCUCUGGGAUAAGCCUGGGAAACUGGGUCUAAUACCGGAUAUGACUCCAUGACGCAUGUUGUGGGGUGGAAAGCCUUGUGCGGCUGAGGAUGGGCCCGCGGCCUAUCAGCUUGUUGGUGGGGUGAUGGCCUACCAAGGCGACGACGGGUAGCCGGCCUGAGAGGGCGACCGGCCACACUGGGACUGAGACACGGCCCAGACUCCUACGGGAGGGCAGCAGUGGGGAAGUCUUGCGCAAUGGGCGAAAGCCUGACGCAGCGACGCCGCGUGAGGGAUGACGGCCU
rnacentral:rRNA from 1 species